CCAGGACAGAACCAUCAGCGAUUUCAUAGCAGGCUAUGAGGGUGCCAGCUGUGUCAUGACUGACGGAGGCUGGAGAUGGAGGCCUGAUCAUUCCGGCCCAAUAUGGAGGCAUUCCAAUGGCCAUUUCAGCUCCAGAACUCAGGGGUUUUGCUCCCCAGAGAGCUGUGCCUUCACACCAGGAGCAUAUCCCUGGGUCGCCUUGUCGGCAGGAUGACCUUUGGUUCAGCCUAAAUAGGUCCUAUGCUAUUCCAGUCCCCU